ACUUUUAAAGGAUAACAGCUAUCCGUUGGUCUUAGGAACCAAAAAUAUU
rnacentral:tRNA from 1 species